GGGCUGGACACCCAGGAGGAAUGAAAGGCCACUGACUGACGACCUCAGCGUCUGCCUGUGGGCACCCACUUCCCCAGCUGCCCAGGUGACCUUAGCAAGUUCGCCUCUCUGAACCUGUUUCUGUAUCCAUGAAAUGAGAUACUGAUGGAGAUACCUGCGCUUUGAUGUUGCGAGGAUGACAUGAAAUGAAGGAAGACUGCAUACUGCCAUGUACGAAGUGGCCCCAGUUCAGCGGACAAGGAUGCUCACCGAGGGCAGGGUCUGCACACUCUUUGUACUGCUCUGGAGUGCAGUACGGGGCAUCCCCUGUGGAGGAGAGAAGACAGUUCAGGAUGGAGAUUAUAAGUGGUGCCGCAAGGUAGAAGAGGAGAGCAGACGGGACAGGAGGACCGGCGAGCCCCAGUCUUCCCGGGAAGUGCCCCCCUACUGCAGUCUGCCCUUUCUAGACCCUUCCAGCCACUCCUGAAGGCACAGGCAGGAACUGAGGUCAGAGAGACAAGAAGCACAAAGGUAACGUGUCUCACAGUCGAUGCGGCAGGCAGUGAUGCUAUAGGAGUCGAAGAAAUCCGAGUCCAUGGCCACAGCUUUGCAGGUCACUCGUGCUGCUGACUACCCACCCAGGCCCUAGCUCACCUGUUCCCCCAUUAUUGAUCACCGCCACUCCAUCGAGACCCCUCCAAAUCCC